UACGUAGGGCGCAAGCGUUGUCCGGAAUUAUUGGGCGUAAAGAGCUCGUAGGCGGUGUGUCACGUCGGCCGUGAAAACCUGCAGCUUAACUGUGGGCGUGCGGUCGAUACGGGCAUCACUGGAGUUCGGCAGGGGAGACUGGAAUUCCUGGUGUAGCGGUGAAAUGCGCAGAUAUCAGGAGGAACACCGGUGGCGAAGGCGGCGACCUGGGUAGAUACUGACGCUGAGGCGCGAAAGCGUGGGGAGCAAACAGG
rnacentral:rRNA from 1 species